rnacentral:lncRNA from 1 species
UAAGAGUUUAUGCUCAUCUCUCCUAAGCAUGCACCAUGCAUUUGAGAUGAGGCCAGCUGUUACCAUUGGUAUUUAAUAGCAUGGCUUGGCGCCUUGGUGUAUAAACUGAGACAAGAACGCAAAUGAGCACAAGCUGCAACUGUUGAUAGCGACUCAAAGUCUCUCUCUAGCUACUUACUACUUCUAGAAAGUAAAUAUCAAUGGGAUAUUAGAAGAAAACUGAAUUACAGGAUGUACGCUAGUGUGAUCUUGCUCUAUACCGGACCAAUUUGAAGAAAUUGUUCACUUGCGGAAUCAAGAGAGAUAUCAUUAAGACAACAACAUGUGGGGGUAAACCAGACCCUUCAUAGCAAGUUCGCAAGGUUGCAUGUGUAGAACAAAACUCGACACACAGCAAGUUCAUAAGCUUGUUUCUCUGCAACAUAAGCCAAGAUAGGGCUAGGGAUUGACAGUCGCCGAGGAUCCGAGCUUUAGUCAUGAAGUUGACUUCUACCCCCUUAUUUGUAUUAACAACGUCCAUUCAACUGUAACAACUAAGGUUGAUGGUCUAUUAUUCUUUUCCACCUAGGGUUACCCAGGUCAUCCUUUUCACACUUUAGUGACAACACAGAGUUUCCAUUAAGGUUUUCUCAUGGUUAUUUGUAGGAUAAAGACUCUAAAACUAUUGAUGGACACUCUAAAACUCUUCACAUUAUGUACGAUGAACUGUCCCAUCUUUUCUCUUUUUUGAGGGAGGCUGUGCUUACCCACAUGCAUCAUGCAUGUGAGACGAGUCCAACAAUAAUGCUUAUAUGAUACAAUGGCUUGCCAUAGUUUCCAGGUUGCAAGAGUCACACACAAGUGUCAUUUUAGAAGCAAACUUCCAAUGGAGUAUUAUAAGAUAACUGAAUUCGGUAAGACCGGUGUUAUCUAGGUCUGUAAGUGGAUGAGUUGUCUACUAAGUUGGCAUGGUUGGUUCUUGGCACUGGGUGUGAAGUGUGGUCAUGAAACCAAAUGUUUGCAGAUUGGAUUGGGUAACAAUAUGCUAUCCUUUUACUGGAUUCACAUUGUUUGUACGCCAAAAAAAAUUGUUAGGGAAAAUCACAACCACACGCCUAAGGAGUCACUUGGUGAAUUUUGGCGAGCAGUAAGGUGCGACAUCGUCUACCACGUCGACCAAUUUCCUUAGCUGCAGCAUUCGACUUGCGCCGUGUUCCUAGCCCGGUGUCUUCACUCAACGCGGCAUGGACAGGUUUGUUGGCUUCGGUCUCGUACGUACGAACGCCGACGAGUACUUUCCAUCGAGUUCCGACGGGCCGAUCCUUAAGUGACGCACGUACGACACGUACAACAAGCAUGUAAACAGGCAACUGGAUGGAUCGAUUCAGCGUGAACUAGUAGCAAACUUGCAAGGCUAGCUAGCCAAGCUAGCUCAUGUAUCCCGGCGAGACCGAGAGAUCGCUUUCUAUGUAAGAUACGAUGUACGCAACAACAAUAGAUGCGAGUUUAUGGCAAAUCAGGUGCGACACGCACAUGUUGUUUUUUGCUUUGAUCUUUCUUGAUCUGGUGUUACAAGCACCAACCCUAGAGUGCCUUUUAUACACAUUCAUAAGGGACUAUGGAAAUAGACUAGGACUAGGUAUCCUAAUACUAGUAGGACUCGGUUUGGCUUUUUUCCCAAUCCACUGUGUACAUGGCAACGUGAUUAACUCACAUUCACCCCCUAAUCACGAUGUCCUUACUUCCAACCUGGGUCCCAAACAGGAUUGUUGCUUCUCAUAACUGUUAUCAUCGAUAUGGCAUUUGACGUCGCUUGCAGCAUUUUAU